GCACGGCAAAGGCAAAAACAUAAACACCUCGUCGUCCAUCCUCCAACACCUCCGCUGCUAUCUUCCUUUCCGCCUGUUCAUUCCAUAUAUUUUCGCUCCGAUCGCAGGCCUAUCACUCUCGAGUUCGCGUUUCUUAUUUCCCGAGAUCUCCUUGCCGGAACCCCCAUCGCGAUCUCCGACCGAUUCUGAGGUUCCGAUUUCUUGUUUUCUUAUCCCUUCCGUUUUUCUCUUCCAUUUCUGAAAUAUCAACCAGCUCCUUCAGCCCCAUUCUUCCCUAGGUUUUGCACGGAGCAUUUGAAGCCUAUUUCAUUUCAGGUUGUAAUAAAUUUGGUUGAAUGACCUUGCUACAACUGUUGAAUCAUGACGUCAAGUAUGUUGAGUGGAGAAAGAAGGUGGACAUCAGCCAGACGAGGUGGGAUGACUGUUUUAGGAAAGGUUGCUGUUCCAAAACCUAUAAACUUACCCAGUCAAAGGUUAGAAAAUCAUGGUUUGGACCCAAAUGUGGAAAUUGUACCCAAGGGUACCCUCAGUUGGGGCAAUAAAUCAACUUCAUCUGCAACAAAUGCUUGGGGCUCCUCAUCUGGUUCUCCAAAUACAGACAGUGCUUCUGGUUCACCAAGCCAUCUCUGUGGUCGCCCUUCAUCUGCUGGAGGUGGCACUCGUCCAUCAACGGCUGGUAGUGACAGGUCCCAUGAACCUCAUGCUAAUGCAUGGGGUCCGAGUUCUAGACCAUCAUCUGCCUCUGGGCCUGUGACGUUAAGUCAUGCAUCACUCGCAUCCUUGCGCCCCCACAGUGCUGAAACUAAAUCUAGUAGCUCACAAUUGUCACGAUUUGCAGAGACUUCUGAAAAUCCAGUGGCUUGGAAUUCUGCUGUGACUAUAGAGAAAGUGGGAGCGAUGCCAUGUAAGAGGGAUGGGUUUUCUUUGACAUCAGGAGAUUUUCCUUCGCUGGGUUCUGAGAAAGAAUGUGUAGGAAAGGAUGCUGAGUCACGAGAUACUAGGUCUAGUGAAGGAGCUACAAUGAAAGAGAGGACUGGAACUUCGGCAAUCGAUGACCCUAAAAAUGUGACUACAAAUGUUGAAAGUGCUAAUUCGUGGAGAAGUGAUAAUCUUCCGCACAACGAUGAUGGGCCUAGGCCCAGUGUAGAGAAAUGGCUGGGGCAUCCCCAACCUUACCCUGGUGCAAAUAUUCCUCCCCCACAUUAUGAUGCUUGGCAUGGUUCUCCAGUAAAUAAUCCUCAAGGUGGUGUAUGGUAUAGGGGUCCUCCACAAGGAGGUCCUCCAUAUAGAACUCCAGUUGCUCCUGGUAAUUUUCCCAUGGACCCAUUUCUGUAUUAUCCUCCACAUAUUCCCUCAGGCGGUCUUCCCAAUCCCCAGCCUUCUCAUGGAACUGGACCCAGGGGACAUCAUACUAAAACUGGAGAUAUGUAUAGACCUCCUAUGCAUGAUGGUUUUAUUCAUCCAGGCAUGCCAAUUAGACCUGGAUUUUACCCAGUUCCAGUUACCUAUGAGGGAUAUUUCCGUCCUCCCAUGGGCUACUGCAAUUCAAGCGAUAGAGAUGCUCCAUUUAUGGGAAUGUCUGCUGGACCUGCUGGCCCUGCUGUUUAUAACAGGUACUUGGGCCAAGGCCAAAUUGCAUCUGAGCCUGCAAGUUCCCAUCUGGUUCCAGAACAAGUAGAAGCUGGUCUUCCUUGUGAUAAUCAAGGACCAUACAAGGUUCUUUUGAAGCAGCAGGGAAACUUAAAUAGUAAGAACGAAGAAGAAAAUAGGAUAAUCUCAACAACCACUAAUCAGUUGAUUGUUGAGAAGGAUGACCAACAGAGGAUGACUCCAUGGGAGAAUGACUGGGAUCAUAAAAAAGAAGUUGAUUUGAGGAGAACGUUGGAGGUGGCACCGUAUUCUCAGGCUUCUGCCAACCAAGAAACUCAAUUUGCUGAAAGUAUGAAAGCCAAGUCUCAUGGAAACGAGAAGAUUGGUGAUGGUUUGCAAGAAAAAUCGGCUGCUGCUGCUGCUGGUUUCUCUGAAGUUCCCAAACCACUGGCAACUGCCACAAAAGAUUCAAGUCUGAUUCAGAAGAUAGAAGGAUUAAAUGCCAAAGCCCGAGCUUCUGAUGUGCGACAUGAUGUUUCACCUAUUUGCAGGAGGGAGGAGCCAAAUGAGCUUCAAUUUAAUGAUACACACUCUGAUCAUGUUAUUGCCCAAGAAGCUAGUGCAAGUGCUGUUUUUCCUGAAAAUAGGGAUUUUAAUGAAGUCAUAGACCCAGGCUCCAGUGAAUUAAGUUUGUCCACUGUAGAUAGGAAUGUUAAAUUAUACGGUGGAGCACAUGUCCACAGGAGGCCUAAUCGUGGAAUGCAAGGGAGAAGUGAUCAUCAUGGCAGAGCAAAAGUCAAUACACGGGAGGUUGAUGGGUGGCAUAAAAGACCUCUGUUGGACUCCCCAGGCAUGAUGGCAACUCCCAACCAGGAAAGUUCUGUGCUUGCAAGAGACGACAAUGCUAUAGGCGCUAUUAAUAAGGCUGAGUCAUUUUCUUCAGAUAGCCAUGGAGAUGUACCUACUCCAUCCAUGGGUGAUUCAAAAGAUACUCAAGCUCAGCGCACAAAGAUGAGAGAGCUAGCAAAGCAACGCACCAGACAAUUGCAGGAGGAAGAGGAGGAAAGGACUAGAAAACAGAGGGCCAGGGCCCUGGCAAAACUUGAAGAAUUGAACAGGCGUACAAUAGCAGGGGAGGGUCCGAACCAGUGGUCUGAAAAUGUUUCUAAUGAUGCCAUAAGAAAUAAGAUACAAGAACCUCAAAAUCUUGAUGACCCAAGCACGCGUGGUAGUACUAUAUCUGGAGAGUAUACCACAGUUUCUGAUCCACACGUGGUUGCUAACAAUAGUGAGUCAACUAUGGGCACUAAUAAAAAUUCUCCCAUUUUAUCAGGAGAUGCCCAAUCGAUGAAACCAAGUAGUGGCAGUAAGGAACAGGUUGUGGCACAUAAUCAAUUGAGAACUUUGGAGCUGGAGGCAAGCAUUAAUGAUGCAGUCCAAAAGAAGAAUGCUUCGGAGGUAAAUGGGGGCGGUGCAUCCUUGAAGCACAAGCGUACAGGAAAUAAACAAAAACCAAAUAUUCCAUCUGAAAAGACUGAAAAGAUUCCCCACUUAAUUAAGGAUUCAAAAGUUCAGACAGUUGUUGCUGACAUUUCAGUUGUAGACGAGUCGAGUGCUAUCAUUACAGAACCUGUUGCUGAACAUUCCACCCAUGCAAGAAAGAAAAAUAACAAGAGUGGGAAGAGCAGGCACAAAGUGGAAGAGACCUCGAUAUCUGCAGCAUCACCUCAAAUUUCAAAAGAGGCAAAUCUUACAACGGAAUAUGAUAAACCAAAGGCUUCUCAAUCGGUAAUGGAUCCACCUUCAGAUCCACAACCGCCAAUUAAUGGAGAUGAAAAUCAGUCCAGAGAGCAGCUACCUCUGUUACCAGUUGUAGAAACUCUUGGCAAAGGUAACGGUCAGUGGAAGUCUCAGCAUUCUCGCAGGAUGCCAAGAAAUGCUCAAAAUAGACCAGGAGAAAAGAUCCAUGGGAGUGAUUCUGUUAUCUGGGCCCCUGUGCGAUCUCUCAACAAAUGUGAGAUUACGGAUGAAACUCUUCAUAAAAAUGAAGCUGGGGCUGUUACUUCAUCUGUAAAGAUUGAUAAUCAAGUGCAGAGUAUGCCAAAGAACAAGCGAGCUGAAAGAGAGAUAUAUGUACCGAAGCCAGUAGUCAAGGAAAUGGCACAGCAAGGAACCAUCCAUCAAGAUAUUUUCCCCAUGAACCAGGCGCAAGAUGAUAAUAAGGCAGAUUCUAGUUCCAAAAGUUCUGAUAAUACUCGACCUGCUGGUGCUGUUUCUGGCAAUGUGGGAUUUUCCACAGAUCACAGAAACGGGGAUGGUAGGCACCAUAAACAAAGCAAGGCACAUGCAUCGUGGCGCCAACGGGGAGCCACAGAAUAUGGGCAAGGCUUACAAGACCAAUCAUCUUAUGUUUCAAAUGCUGCUGGUAGUUUUGUUCAAAAAUCAACUGAAUAUCAAGUACCUGAGAAGGCUACUGGAAGCACCAUCAAUGAGUUUACGAGCCACGUUGAUGAGUGGGAUCCACCCGAUGGAUGGAACGAUCCCAACUACUCAGCCUCUAUCCCAGCUGUCACUGCAGCUGUUGGGAGAGACCAGGGGGUGACAAGCAGGGGAAAACGGUCCCAAUUUAAGGGGCACAAGGGUGUAGGGAACAAUUUUGAUUUGAAUGAAAAGAAACUUAGAAGUGGAGACAAUGAAAAAAAUUCUUCCCAAUCCUCAGUGCUCGGGGCAGAUCAAAAAGAUGUAUUUGCUGCUGCCAAAGAAAAUCGGGGUGUUGGGGAGCGUUCAACAUCUCAUUGGCAACCCAAAUCCCGGAUGGUUCAGCCCCACAAUCAUCAAAAUAGCAAGCCUAGUGAUGAUCAAAAUGUUGAAGCUGAAGCUGGACAGACUAAUAAAAUGGGAUCUAGGCCAUUUUCACAUGCCACAAAAACGAGUGAUGAUGUGGCCCAAAAUCAGUCCGAUAGGUUUACUGGUGCAAGAACCAUCAUGGAAGAAGGACCAGAUGUUGGUCCUCAUGGGGCCAGAGUAGAGAAGAAAAUUUACUCCCGCAAAGAUCGUCCUUACUCCCCAGUCGAAGGUCCUAUCCAUACCGUUGAGGUUGCUCCAGCAAAUACAGAUACCAGACGCGAUCAACCGUUGCCUACAUUUUAUCAUAAAGGCGGUGAGAACAAUAACCGCUUUGGACGAGGGCCAGAAUCUCGUCGGGAAAGGAAUUCCUCUCAACAUCAUAAGCAGCAGCAGCAUUAUCCACCUGCUAAUAGAGACAGGCAGAGACAAAAUUUGCAGUACGAGUACCAACCAGUUGGGCCACAUAAUGGAAAGCCGAACAUGGAUAAUAGACCUAAGGAUACCACACAGCAUUCAGGAUCAAGGUACGUGGAGAGGGGCCAAGGUCAGUCCAGAAGAGAUGGUGGGAACUUCCACAAGCAACAAGGUGGACCAGUUUGAUUAGAUGCCUAUCAUAUUUAGCAUAAUUUGGAGAUUCCAAAUACAUUCUCUUUAUUUGACCUGCGCCACCCCAGUUUAUAUACAUAGCAGCUGAUGGUGUGGAACUGAAUCGAGCAGUGUAGUAGGAGCCAGAUUUGACGGUGCAGGAGAGAACUGUUUUGGAGUUGGACGGAGGGUGCUCGAACUUUGUUUAUUUUGUAGCUUACUCUCAAAUGAACACUUGUAUGAACUGUUUUGAAGUGUUUUUCCUUUUCUUUUUUUCCCACCUCCCCUCUCCUCUUUACCCUUUGUACCUAUGACAUUUCUUUGUUGAACGACCGAGGGAAUGAAUUAGAGAAGCGUUCUGAUUCUUCGCUA